UAGACUUUACUGAGCCAACUUUCACAAAUCUAUGAAGUUUUUAAGUAACCAGAGGAGCAGCAACACUCUACAGCAGAUGGAAGCAACAUCGAAAUGUGUUGGCGUGCUGGUUCGUCUUAAACACCGAAUACUUCAAACUCUGAUCUCAUCGAGCAGGGAUGUAAUGAUUCACUCUACCCCUGAUUCGAUUCAAAUUUCGAUUCCUAAUUCCUUUAUUUCCUUUCAAAACAUCCUGCAUUCGUUUGAUUGUAUUACAUCUGGCAAUUUCUUUGUUUCAGAAAGAGGAACGAACCAGUUAUUUGAACAAACGAGCAAAGUCAUUCAAAUGGCAGAAGAAAUACUGAGGAAACACGACCUGAUUCAUACGGCCGUUGAAAUGAAUGAACUGACCGUACCGUGACCCCAAGAGGGGGUAGGUCGAUUAUUGCAGUGUAUAUGUUUAAAGGUAGUUAGACACUUUGAGUAAAAAUAUUAGGAGGGUAAUGCUGGGAGUUAUCAAAAUGUUCUAUGUCAACAUGACCUAUGGAACCAUGACAAUAUAUAUUAUGAAUGUGAUACUGCGUAUGUUUUAUCAAUCUGUUAUGGCGAGCGCUUUUUUCUGUGCAGUGGCGUGUUGGGGGGACAGCAUCAAAAAGAGGGAUGCCUCCCGCCUAAACAAACUGGUGAGGAAGGUGGCUUCUGUUGUGGGCACAGAGCUGUCUGGUCUGACAUCUGUGGCGAAACAACGGGUGAAGCCCAGGCUGCUGUCCAUCAAGGAAAACCCCGUUCACCCACUGCAUGGCACCAAGUCCAAACGGAGGUGCAACUUCAGUGACAGGAAGCGGACACCGUCCUGCUCCACAGAAAGGCUGAGGGGAUCAUACCUCCCCAGACUUUUUAAGUCCACACGGGUGACAGGGGUACGAUCAUGGGCAUGACCGUGGGUUAAUAUAACAUGCACUGGGUAUAUCAUUAAUUUUUUUAUAUACUGGUGCAUGACUUGUUCACAAGUGACUAUUGCACUCAUAUCCCCUGGAUUAUGUUGUCCUUCCCCUCUUGGGUUUGGAUACUACUGGAUACUGUGAAUUUAUCAAUGCAUCUACUGUCCAUCUUAACAGCUUAAUUGACUGUAGUUUAUCAUAUUGCUCAGAUUCCCAUCAGUUUUGAACUCAAAAGAGUACCCAAAGUUUAAAAAAUAUUUUUCAGUCUCAACAGCAAUCAGAUUGCAGCACAUUAAAAAAAAAAGACAAAAAAAAGUGCACGCUACAAUUUAAGCAUGGUACAAUUUGCAUUUUAUUAUUAGAUUUUCUAACUGACUCUGAAAUUAGACUUUUCCUUCCAGUUAUCAACGUUGUGUAGCAGACAAGUUUACUGGAUGCAUGUGUGUGGGCAGCCUGAUUUUUUUCUUCUGCAUUGUAACACAGCAAGUUUAACAGAGCAUCUCUGUAUUCCGGUUUAAUCGGCAGAUUAGAUGGCAGUCACUCCUCAGUGGUUGUGCUUGUUGCACAUGUUGAUUAGUCAUUAAUUGGCCGCGUUCAUUAUUUGAGCGCAGCAGCGUAAAGUGGGGCUAUAAGAGAGGGCCUGAUGUCAUGCCGGGGAAAGCUGAAUAGCACCAGUCAAUGAGUGAAAGGACUAUUGGAAUCCUAAUUGGAUGAGGAUUUUGGGAGAACCAGCCUUAUGCAAUGGCAAGAUGAAUGCUUUGGGGUUGGGCGCAAUAUUGGAGUAUUGUAAGUUGGGGGGGUAUUGGUGACCCCAUAAAGUUUAGCUAGCUUCAAUGUAAGAUUUUUGACACAAGAACAAAAAAUGAAGUACAGUACAAUCAGUUAUUAUCAGAUGUCCUCCAUUUUAAACAUCAUCCAAACUGCAGGUGCUAAUUUUAAGAUUGUAAUUCAAAUUAAAUUUUGAUAAUUGUUUUAGAGAGUGGGGAAGAAAAAACACAAUUAUGAUCAUUUAGUUGCAUAGGCGUGCACAAUGUCUUCCUACUGGGAAUGUGGCUUUGUUGAGAUCAAAUCAAACUCGUGUUAAAUGGGAAUCAAGUACACACCUGCCACAAUUUGAAGUGUCUCUGAUAAACCCCAAAUCAAUGUUCUAGGAGGCUUUCCCUGACAUUGUAGUCACAUCUUACACCACAAGUCCGCAGAAAGCACAGAAAGGGGGGUUCAUGCUGGCUGCUGCAUCACUGGACUGCUG